rnacentral:snRNA from 1 species
AGCUUUGGGCAGUGGCAGUAUCGUAGCCAAUGAGGUUUAUCCAACGUGCGAUUAUUGCUAAUUGAUUUGUAUUUCCCUGAGGAUUAGUGAUGUUAAGCAUCUUUCCAUGUAAUUGUCAGUCAUUUGUAGGUCCUCUUUGGA